AUACGGAGGAUGCAAGCGUUAUCCGGAUUUAUUGGGUUUAAAGGGUGCGUAGGCGGUUUGCUAAGCGGGAGGUGAAAUGCCGGCGCUCACCGUCGGAAGUGCCUCCCGAACUGGUGGACUGGAAUGACUCUGCCGUGGGAGGAAUGUGUAGUGUAGCGGUGAAAUGCUUAGAGAUUACACAGAACACCGAUUGCGAAGGCAUCUCACGAAGGGUAGAUUGACGCUGAGGCACGAAAGCGUGGGGAUCAAACAGGAUUAGAUACCCUGGUAGUCCACGCAGUAAACGAUGAUGGCUAACCGCUGGUUUAUUCGGAUCAGUGGCCAAGCGAAAGCGAUAAGCCAUCCACCUGGGGAGUACGACCGCAAGGUUGAAACUCAAAGGAAUUGACGGGG
rnacentral:rRNA from 1 species